rnacentral:tRNA from 1 species
ACAGUGAUGGUUCAGUGAUAGAAUUCUCCACCUUUUGUGUGGGAGAACCUGGGUUCGAUUCCUGGCUCUUGUA